rnacentral:rRNA from 1 species
UUAAUUGAAGAGUUUGAUCAUGGCUCAGAUUGAACGCUGGCGGCAGGCCUAACACAUGCAAGUCGAACGGUAACAGGGAGCAGCUUGCUGCUCUGCUGACGAGUGGCGGACGGGUGAGUAAUGUCUGGGAAACUGCCUGAUGGAGGGGGAUAACUACUGGAAACGGUAGCUAAUACCGCAUAACGUCUUCGGACCAAAGUGGGGGACCUUCGGGCCUCAUGCCAUCAGAUGUGCCCAGAUGGGAUUAGCUAGUAGGUGGGGUAACGGCUCACCUAGGCGACGAUCCCUAGCUGGUCUGAGAGGAUGACCAGCCACACUGGAACUGAGACACGGUCCAGACUCCUACGGGAGGCAGCAGUGGGGAAUAUUGCACAAUGGGCGCAAGCCUGAUGCAGCCAUGCCGCGUGUAUGAAGAAGGCCUUCGGGUUGUAAAGUACUUUCAGCGGGGAGGAAGGCGUUGUGGUUAAUAACCACAGCGAUUGACGUUACCCGCAGAAGAAGCACCGGCUAACUCCGUGCCAGCAGCCGCGGUAAUACGGAGGGUGCAAGCGUUAAUCGGAAUUACUGGGCGUAAAGCGCACGCAGGCGGU